AGGAGUGACGGGAACCGGGAGCCGGCUCCAUGCGCCUGGAGCGCGCGGGUCCCAGCGCCCAUCGGCCCGGGGUCCGAGGGGCCCGCUGCCCGGGCUCGCUGCGUGGUGCUACCGCCCCCGGGCCCGCUGCGCCGCGUCGGAGCCCCAGCAGACUUUGAGAGGCGUGUGCGACAGUGCGCGUCCUCUCCUGCCUCUGGAUGUUUCCUUGGAGCCUCUGGCCUUCGGGAAGACCGGUGCCAUCCAGAUUCCAACAGUGACUUUUAGCUCUGAGAAGUCCAAUACUACAGCCCUGGCUGAGUUCGGAAAAUACAUUCAUAAAGCCUGAUGGCCUGGUGUUGGGCCUGAUCACCCCAAAAUUUCAGGCACCCAACGUGGGGCUAUGAAGACCAUGGUAAAGAAAUGCUAGAGUAUAUGGAAAUGAAGGACAUAUCAUCAAAGGACACCCGAGGAUGGCUGAAAGAAGCUUGGUGGGUAAGCUGGGCACUCUGAAGAACCAAGUGCCACUGGGUUAGAGUCUCCCCGACCAAGCUGGUCUCAGCAAGUGGUCUCCAUCAUGGGGGCUCGAAUCCAGGUUGAAGGGUCACCAGAGUGAUGGUUGGAGAACAUGGAACUAGCUGGAGGACACCUGAGUACUCUUAAAGCAAACCCCGUGUUAAUUGAAAAUGCUCAGUUACGAUUUCAUACAGAUGAACAACUGAAGACAAAAACAACAAAGGGGGAGAAAGAGGGAUUAUGGGACAGCCCAUAUACAAUUGAAUCUAGCAUUAUUAACUUUAAAUUUUUUGAGUCUGCCUAAAGGCCAGAUGUUAUCAGCAGCUGAACAGCAUUUACAGAAACCGGCUGCAAAGACAGAAGCAGAACAACUGGUUUGGUGGAGAGAUCCGAUAACAAAAAGUUGGGAAAUAGGUAAAAUAAUAACUUGGGGUAGAGGUUAUGUUUGUGUUUCUCCAGGCCAAAAUCAAUAACCAAUUUGGAUACCAUCAAGACACCUGAAACCUUAUCAUGAGCCAGAUGCUGAGGAAGAGAUUCCAGGAGGAUCCUGAGGACCCCCUGGUUGCAGCCACGUCGAGGCUGACACUGAGGAGGACCCCAACUGUCAUGAGCAACACCCGUCGAACACAGCCAUCCACCUGGGGACAAAUCAAGAAGCUGUCACAGAUGAUGGAAGAAAACCUGAGGAAAGCGGGACAACCAAUCACAAUGAGUAAUUUGGUGAUCUAUCACAGUGAUGAUCACCAUUGCCAUGAGUAUUCCUUCAACAAGGGCUGACACAGAGAACAAUUAUACUUAUUGGGCAUAUUUAUCAAUCUUGUCUGGCAAUAAUGCCUAGAUGAUUUCACUCUAUGGCACAGUUACACAUGCUUUCUGAUCUCAGUAUUUACCAUAAUAAAUCUGCUCCUAUAAUUGAGGCAUACCACCCUCAAAAACCUAUUUGUAAACAAAAUAGAACCUGGCCAGAAAUAAUGAACAACUUGUUUAGUAAGAUUGCAUUGCAGAACAGGCAGAGAUGCUACGCAAUGAUUCCUAUGGGAUCAUUGAUUGGUCCCCUAAGGGGAUGUUUAGCUUAAAUUGCACCUCUCAGUCUGCAUGCCAUGGCCACACUAGUUCAGAUGGUCUGAACAAAGUGGUCAGAUGGCAGAAAUGAUAAGAAGUAUGGCAAAAGUUCCUAUUGUCUGGAACCAUGGCAGUAUAGUGUCACCUCAACCUCAAAUGAUAUGGCUCAUUGUAGGAGCUAAACAUAAGGAUUUGUGGAAACUAUUAAUAGCUCUUAAUAAGAUCAAAAUUUGGGAAAGAAUAAAAAAAGCAUCUAGAAAGACACUCUACAAACUUGUCUUUGGAUAUUACAAAAUUAAAAGAACAAAUAUUUAAAGCAUCCCAGGUACACCUGACCUUAAUGACAGAAACUGGAGUGCUUGAAGGAGCUGCAGACAGAUUAGCAGCUAGUAACCCAUUAAAAUGGAUAAAAACACUUGGAAGCUCUGUGAUUUCAAUGAUGAUUGUGCUUUUAAUCGGUAUUGUUUGUCUUUGUAUAGUGUGCAGAUGUGGAUCCUGACUCCUGUGAGAAGUAGCUCACAGUGUCAAAGCUGCCUUUGCUUUUAUCGAUUUGCAAAUCAAAUAAGGGGGACAUAUUGGGAACAGCACCCCCCCCCCCAAAAUCUGGCCAUAAACUGGUCCCAAAACUGGCCAUAAACAAAAUCUCUGCAGCACUGACAUGUUCAUGAUGGUCUUAAUGCCCACGCUGGAAGGUUGUGGGUUUACCAGAAUGAGAGCAAGGAACACCUGGCCCACCCAGGGUGGAAAACCACUUAAAGGCAUUCUUAAACCACAAACAAUAGCAUGAGUGAUCUGUGCCUUAAGGCUGUGCUACUGCUGCAGAUAACUAGCCCAACCCAUCCCUUUAUUUCAGCCCAUCCCUUCGUUUCCCAUAAGGGAUACUUUUAAUUAAUCUAAUAUGUAUAGAAAGAAUGCUAAUGACUGGCUUGCUGUUAAUAAAUAACGUGGGUAAAUCUCUGUUGGAGGCUCUCAGCUCUGAAGGCUGUGAGACCCCGGAUUUCCCAC
rnacentral:lncRNA from 1 species